rnacentral:rRNA from 1 species
GACGGAAGGUGCAAGCGUUGCUCGGAAUCACUGGGCGUAAAGGGUGCGUAGGCGGCUUGGUAGGUCUGGUGUGAAAGCCCCGGGCUCAGCCCGGGAAGGGCACUAGAAACUGCCAAGCUAGAGUGCCGGAGGGGAGAGUGGAAUUCCUGGUGUAGCGGUGAAAUGCGUAGAGAUCAGGAGGAAUACCGGUGGCGAAAGCGACUCUCUGGACGGCAACUGACGCUGAGGCACGAAGGUCAGGGGAGCAAACGGG